rnacentral:rRNA from 1 species
UGGGGAAUAUUGGGCAAUGGGCGAAAGCCUGACCCAGCAACGCCGCGUGAGGGAAGAAGGUCUUCGGAUUGUAAACCUUUGUCCUAUGGGACGAAACAAAUGACGGUACCAUAGGAGGAAGCUCCGGCUAACUACGUGCCAGCAGCCGCGGUAAUACGUAGGGAGCAAGCGUUGUCCGGAAUUACUGGGCGUAAAGGGUGCGUAGGUGGCCAUGUAAGUUAGGUGUGAAAGACCGGGGCUUAACCCCGGGGCGGCACUUAAAACUGUGUGGCUUGAGUACAGGAGAGGGAAGUGGAAUUCCUAGUGUAGCGGUGAAAUGCGUAGAUAUUAGGAGGAACACCAGUGGCGAAGGCGACUUUCUGGACUGUAACUGACACUGAGGCACGAAAGCGUGGGGAACAAACAGGAUUAGAUACC